UUAGGCCGACUUUACACCAAAAGGGAGAAUAUAGUGCCUUUGUUUGUUCUGCUCAAAUUUUAUGUCGGGAAAACCGAGUGUUCAAUUGCAUCUAGAACGUGAAAUAGUGAAACCUUGUUGUGUGAUCUAUAAAUUGGUAUGCUGCUUUCAUUUCACUGGCACUCUUUUUUUCAUCUCAAAUACAAGGAGACCAGCUGUCCCCUCCUGUUCAGAGCUUUGCUAUGACCGAAGAAAAUCAACAUAUCAAGCCCCCUCAAGAACCACCUGCUGAACAAGCAGUACCACCCUUGCCAAUUUUAGGAAUGUACGGGCUGGGGUCAAAUCCUGCUACAAAAACAACAUGGCCUGAGUUACUUGGCUUAACAGCGGAAGAAGCUGAAAGAAAGAUAAAGGAGGAGAAGCCAGGCGCUCAAAUUCAAGUUGUUCAACCUGAUUGCUUUGUGACCAUGGAUUUUCGACAGAAUAGAGUACGAUUACACGUUGACUCAUUCGGCAAAAUCGAGAGAGCUCCUAGAAUUGGUUAAUCUUGCUUUUAUGUUUGAGAAUGAAACGAGUCUAUAAGUCGAUCUUGGAUUGGCUAUGUGGUUUACAUUGUGUUUGUAAUAGGUACGUCAAUUUGCCUGUGAAUGUUGUGUGAUAUCAUUUUAUUCUCUUUUCAUGUCA